UACAGAGGGUGCGAGCGUUAAUCGGAAUUACUGGGCGUAAAGCGUGCGUAGACGGUUAUUUAAGUCGGGUGUGAAAGCCCCGGGCUCAACCUGGGAAUUGCAUUCGAGACUGAAUAGCUAGGGUACGGUAGAGGGAAGCGGAAUUUCCGGUGUAGCGGUGAAAUGCGUAGAUAUCAGGAGGAACACCGGUGGCGAAGGCGGGUCUCUGGGCCGAUACUGACGCUGAGGAGCGAAAGCGUGGGGAGCGAACAGG
rnacentral:rRNA from 1 species